AACGCGAAGAACCUUACCCGGGCUUGACAUCCCACGCCAUCCUACGAAAGUAGGCUUUCCCGCAAGGGAACGUGGAGACAGGUGCUGCAUGGCUGUCGUCAGCUCGUGCCGUGAGGUGUUGGGUUAAGUCCCGCAACGAGCGCAACCCUCGCCGUGUGUUGGUCCGCAAGGAUCUCUCACGCGGGACCGCCGAUGAGAAGUCGGAGGAAGGUGGGGAUGACGUCAAGUCAGCAUGGCCCUUACGUCCGGGGCUACACACGUGCUACAAUGGGUAGGACAACGGGUUGCUAGCUAGCGAUAGUAUGCUAAUCCCUUAAACCUGCCCUCAGUUCGGAUUGGAGGCUGCAACUCGCCUCCAUGAAGUCGGAAUCGCUAGUAAACGCAGAUCAGCUACGCUGCGUUGAAUACGUUCCCGGGCCUUGUACACACCGCACUACUA
rnacentral:rRNA from 1 species